rnacentral:rRNA from 1 species
GUCUACGGCCAUGCCACCCUGAACAAGCCCGAUCCUGUCUGAUCUCAGAAGCUAAGCAAGAUCGGGCCUGGUUAGUACUUGGAUAGGAGACCACCUAGGAAGACCAGUUGCUGUAGGUG